rnacentral:rRNA from 1 species
AAUGAACGUUGGCGGCGUGGAUUAGGCAUGCAAGUCGUACGGGCCGCAAGGCCAGUGGCGCAAGGGUGAGUAAUGCGACGGUAACCAACCCCAUGGGUGGGUAUAGCCGCGGGAAACUGCGGGUAAUCCCCAGCGAAGCAAAGCGAUCGGCAUCGGUCGUUUGCCAAAGCCCCGGCGCCGUGGGACGGGCCGUCGUGGUAUUAGGUAGUUGGGGGGGUAACGGCCCACCAAGCCGACGAUGCCUACCGGGCGUGCGAGCGUGGCCCGGCACACUGGGACUGAGACACUGCCCAGACUCCUACGGGAGGCUGCAGUCGAGAGUCUUCGGCAAUGGGCGCAAGCCUGACCGAGCGACGCCGCGUGGAGGACGAAGGCCUUCGGGUUGUAAACUCCUGUCGAGGGGAAAGAAGGUCCGCAAGGACUUGACUGAUCCCUGGAGGAAGCACGGGCUAAGUUCGUGCCAGCAGCCGCCGUAA